CUACGGGAGGCUCCAGUGAGGAAUAUUGCACAAUGGGGGGAACCCUGAUGCAGCAACGCCGCGUGGAGGAUGACGCAUUUCGGUGUGUAAACUCCUUUUAUAUGUCAAGAAAAUGACGGUAGCAUAUGAAUAAGCACCGGCUAACUCCGUGCCAGCAGCCGCGGUAAUACGGAGGGUGCAAGCGUUACUCGGAAUCACUGGGCGUAAAGGACGCGUAGGCGGGUUGGAAAGUCGGGUGUGAAAUCCUACAGCUUAACUGUAGAACUGCACUUGAAACUUCUAAUCUAGAGUAUGGGAGGGGGAGAUGGAAUUAGUGGUGUAGGGGUAAAAUCCGUAGAUAUCACUAGGAAUACCUAAAGCGAAGGCGAUCUCCUGGAACAUUACUGACGCUAAGGCGUGAAAGCGUGGGGAGCAAACAGGAUUAGAUACCCGUGUAGUC
rnacentral:rRNA from 1 species